rnacentral:lncRNA from 1 species
GGAGAAGGAUUUCAACUAUGUUUAAUAGCAGAGGUUUUUUAUUUCCCUAAGGAAAUAUGAUACUCAAAACACACACACAAACUAUAAAAAGAAAAGUGUUCUGGUUGAAGCCUGAGUUGGAAGUCCAGAUGCUCACCCAUCUUGCCUCCUCUUUGCCCCUCAGAUCUGCUCCUGAGCCUCCUUCACGGACUUUACUUUCCACGAGACACAUUUGUAAAACGUUGGGCUAUACUGACCUCUUUAUGGACCUUGAGAUCAACUUUGCAGCAAAGUCAACGUUUAGAACAAAGCUGAGAACCUCAAAGAUGUAAAAGCAGAUUUUCUGAAGGAACGGAUUCAGUACUAAAAGAGGACAUCAGGCAGCCUGGGUUUGAAUCCCAGCUCAGCUGCAGCUGUGGUAGAUAACUGCAUGUGGUCUCAGACUCUUCUGGAGCUGCAAGCGUCCCACCUCAAGUAUGUACCGCCCCUCUUCUUGCCCCAGGACCUUCUCAAAAGCCACAGAAGCCAACAGGGGCGGUCUUACGUGUAGGGACCUAAUCACCCCAGGGACAAUCGUCAUCCAAGGCGAGAAGGAGCCGGUGGAUAAAUGUUUCAGCCCAGGGCUUCUCAACCUCUGUGAUGCAGAGCCAGUUUCCUUCCUUCCUAUCUUUAAGUGGUCAUCCAGAGAAACCAAUACUUUCACUUUUGAAAAUCAUACACUUAAACGUUGCAGCAAUGUCAAAUUGCUAUAAAAGAUUCUAAAAGCUUACUCUGACUUUCUGAACUUGUCAUGGACCGGUAACAAACAUUCUGGGAACAGACACCAGGCUGCAGACAGCACUUCGAAAAGCACUGCUUUCACCUUAGUCCUUCAGGACAGCAAUUCUGGAAGCCAUUCUGUAUGCUUCUCAGGAGAUUCUGGCCAAUUCAAACCUGUUUCCCAUAGCAGUCAUCUUACUAACCCACUCUUAUGUUGACUUUCCUCCCUCCCUGCCUCUCUCUCCCCACUCUCUCACCCCUGCUCCCUGUAUCACCCCUGCGUUCCUCCACCCCAAAUAAUGACCUGCACAAGUAAAGUCCUAGUCUAGGCUGGACACCUAGGUAAUCCAAACUAAGACACUAAUGCCUACAGUUCUGUGAUCAAGAUACUAAUAUGGAGAAAAGUUGUGAAAUAUAGAUAGUGCAUUCAUAGAGAAGGAGGAGUAAAAAACAC